AAUAGAUACCCGGGUAGUCCACGCCGUAAACGAUGAGUGCUAAGUGUUAGGGGGUUUCCGCCCCUUAGUGCUGCAGCUAACGCAUUAAGCACUCCGCCUGGGGAGUACGGUCGCAAGACUGAAACUCAAAGGAAUUGACGGGGGCCCGCACAAGCGGUGGAGCAUGUGGUUUAAUUCGAAGCAACGCGAAGAACCUUACCAGGUCUUGACAUCCCAUUGACCACUAUGGAGACAUAGUUUUCCCUUCGGGGACAACGGUGACAGGUGGUGCAUGGUUGUCGUCAGCUCGUGUCGUGAGAUGUUGGGUUAAGUCCCGCAACGAGCGCAACCCUUGUUCUUAGUUGCCAUCAUUUAGUUGGGCACUCUAAGGAGACUGCCGGUGACAAACCGGAGGAAGGUGGGGAUGACGUCAAAUCAUCAUGCCCCUUAUGACCUGGGCUACACACGUGCUACAAUGGACGGUACAAACGGUUGCCAACCCGCGAGGGGGAGCUAAUCCGAUAAAACCGUUCUCAGUUCGGAUUGUAGGCUGCAACUCGCCUACAUGAAGCC
rnacentral:rRNA from 1 species